rnacentral:rRNA from 1 species
GCAUAUCAAUAAGCGGAGGAAAAGAAACCAACAGGGAUUGCCUCAGUAACGGCGAGUGAAGCGGCAAAAGCUCAAAUUUGAAAUCUAACACUUUCAGUGUUCGAGUUGUAAUUUGAAGAAAGUUUCUCUGAGUAGUCCUUUAUCUAUGUUCCUUGGAACAGGACGUCAUAGAGGGUGAGAAUCCCGUAUGAUUUUGGAUACUAUUCUUUGUGAGAUUCUUUCGAAGAGUCGAGUUGUUUGGGAAUGCAGCUCUAAGUGGGUGGUAAAUUCCAUCUAAAGCUAAAUAUUGGCGAGAGACCGAUAGCGAACAAGUACAGUGAUGGAAAGAUGAAAAGAACUCUGAAGAGAGAGUGAAAAAGUACGUGAAAUUGCUGAAAGGGAAGGGCUUUAGGUCAGACUUGGUGUUUAAUGAUUAUCUUCUCUUUUUGAGUUGUGCACUCGUUUUUCACUGGGCCAAUAUCAGUUUUUGUGGUAGAGCACCUAUUGGAAUGUAGCUUUUCUUCGGAUGAGUGUUAUAGCCUUUAGACGAUCUAUUUACGGAGACUGAGGACUGCGCGUUAUGCUAGGAUAUUGGCGUAAUGACCUUAAGCCGCCCGUCUUGAAACACGGACC